GAUGCACUUAAUAAAAAGAAAAACGAACGCAAAAAAAUAAUAAUCCAUCUUCAUCCGGCGAGGGCUCCACGCAGACUGAGCUCUGCAUGGCAGGGGAAGGCUUAUAAAGCCUUGCCCCGCCCUGCAAUUAGGUUCAGAGCACUCUGAUUGGUGGGUUUAAGCCAUCCAAUCAGAGUGCUCUGACAGGUAAAUGAAGAGACAGACAGGUAAGUCUCUACAUUUACCUGUCACAGCACUCUGAUUGGUUGGUUUGAAAUCCACCAAUCAAAGUGCUCUAUGUCAUUUUACACAGUGUGG